GAUGAACGCUGGCGGCGUGCCUAAUACAUGCAAGUCGAGCGAACAGAUGAGGAGCUUGCUCCUCUGACGUUAGCGGCGGACGGGUGAGUAACACGUGGAUAACCUACCUAUAAGACUGGGAUAACUUCGGGAAACCGGAGCUAAUAAUGGAUAAUAUAUUGAACCGCAUGGUUCAAUAGUGAAAGACGGUUUUGCUGUCACUUAUAGAUGGAUCCGCGCCGCAUUAGCUAGUUGGUAAGGUAACGGCUUACCAAGGCGACGAUGCGUAGCCGACCUGAGAGGGUGAUCGGCCACACUGGAACUGAGACACGGUCCAGACUCCUACGGGAGGCAGCAGUAGGGAAUCUUCCGCAAUGGGCGAAAGCCUGACGGAGCAACGCCGCGUGAGUGAUGAAGGUCUUCGGAUCGUAAAACUCUGUUAUUAGGGAAGAACAAAUGUGUAAGUAACUAUGCACGUCUUGACGGUACCUAAUCAGAAAGCCACGGCUAACUACGUG
rnacentral:rRNA from 1 species